rnacentral:lncRNA from 10 species
AAGAACUGAUGUGGGAAACAGUGGCAGAGAGUUAGAGAAAGCAGCAAAGACUACAAGACUUCAGAGUCACAGCUGGCUACAAACCCACCCCCUGCACCCAGUACCACUAGCUGGAGACACUGGAAGAUGCUCUUGUUAUUCUCGGAUCACCGCCUACCCCCAAAACCCAUCCUCCCUGCUGCCUUACCUGAGAAGUUGAACCCCAGAGACAGAAAGGAUCACCUGCACUCCUUGUACUGGGCCUUCCCAUCGGCCAACGUGUGGCAUGAACGAGGCUGCAUCCCUCUUCCAUAGCACCUGCACUCGUAGGCUCUGCAAAUUUCAUCCCCACCUUUGGCCCUUCAGGCCUAGGGCAAGUCACAGCUCCCCAGAACUGUUCAUCCCCAGGUGUCUCGCCAUCCCUAGAUAGCACCUGUAAGCCUGACUACACCUCUGUAAAGCGUGCCCUUCAUUAAAUUUUCUUCUGUUAA